rnacentral:rRNA from 1 species
AUUGAACGCUGGCGGCAUGCCUUACACAUGCAAGUCGAACGGUAACGUGCCUUCGGGUGCCGACGUGUGGCGAACGGGUGAGUAAUACAUCGGAACGUGCCCGAUCGUGGGGGAUAACGAGGCGAAACCUUUGCUAAUACCGCGUACGAUCUACGGAUGAAAGCAGGGGACCGCAAGGCCUUGCGCGGACGGAGCGGCCGAUGGCAGAUUAGGUAGUUGGUGGGCUAAAAGCUUACCAAGCCGACGAUCUGUAGCUGGUCUGAGAGGAUGAUCAGCCACACUGGGACUGAGACACGGCCCAGACUCCUACGGGAGGCAGCAGUGGGGAAUUUUGGACAAUGGGCGCAAGCCUGAUCCAGCCAUGCCGCGUGCAGGAUGAAGGCCUUCGGGUUGUAAACUGCUUUUGUACGGAACGAGAAGCCUUCUUCUAAUACAGGAGGGUCAUGACGGUACCGUAAGAAUAAGCACCGGCUAACUACGUGCCAGCCGCCGCCGUAA